AUCAGCGAGGGGCGGGGCCCCGCGGCUCGCGCCGGAAGUUGUGGGCGCCCGGUGCAGCUUCCUGGGUGCUGUUUUUGCGACUUCCGCGGGCGUCCCAGGUGCGGCUUCCUGAAGGUUCUCCUACCCCGGUUCUUACUGCCCUUGCAGGUUUUGUCACUUCUCACAGGAUACUUCUGCUGGUAAUAGCGCAUCAGGCAGAAAUAAAACCUUGCCAGAAAAGUAGAUACUCCCCUAAAGCGCCCCACGCACCUCCUUCCCCGCCAAGAGUCACCGCCUUCCUGCCUUCUAACCCUGGGGCCUGGCUCUGACAUCUGGUCUAUCCCGUUUUGUAAAUAAGGCGGAUGUGUAUGUAAAGCUGGUGUUGGCCUGAAUGAUGAAGCCAGUUGCUCAGCAACGUAAACCCUAGAUGUGGAGGCAGCAGAGACCAUUCUCGCCAUCUGGAUUCUUCUCGGCUGUGUAUAGAGAUGCUCCAGUCAUGUGACAAGAUCAUCUGCAUUCCACUGUUUCCAUAGAAACCCCAGAGGAAUCGGCAGAUAAAGAGACUACAACUACAGGGAAAGCUGAAAGACACAUCAAUGACUUCAUUCACUUUUCUAUUUCAUUUUGUGCUUGUGGAAGCAGUGAACGUUAAGAGACAUAAAUAAAACACAUCCUGUGGAGA